rnacentral:rRNA from 1 species
AGUUUGAUCCUGGCUCAGGAUGAACGCUAGCUACAGGCUUAACACAUGCAAGUCGAGGGGCAGCAUUGGAGUAGCAAUACUUCAGAUGGCGACCGGCGCACGGGUGAGUAACACGUAUCCAACCUGCCGCUUACUCGGGGAUAGCCUUUCGAAAGAAAGAUUAAUACCCGACGGUAUAAAGAGUUCGCAUGUUCUCUUUAUUAAAGAAUUUCGGUAAGCGAUGGGGAUGCGUUCCAUUAGAUAGUUGGCGGGGUAACGGCCCACCAAGUCUACGAUGGAUAGGGGUUCUGAGAGGAAGGUCCCCCACAUUGGAACUGAGACACGGUCCAAAUCCUACGGGAGGCAGCAGUGAGGAAUAUUGGUCAAUGGACGAGAGUCUGAACCAGCCAAGUAGCGUGAAGGAUGACUGCCCUAUGGGUUGUAAACUUCUUUUAUAAGGGAAUAAAGUGAGGGACGUGUCCCUUUUUGUAUGUACCUUAUGAAUAAGGAUCGGCUAACUCCGUGCCAGCAGCCGCGGUAAUACGGAGGAUCCAAGCGUUAUCCGGAUUUAUUGGGUUUAAAGGGAGCGUAGGUUGACAUAUAAGUCAGCUGUGAAAGUUUACGGCUCAACCGUGAAAUUGCAGUUGAUACUGUAUGUCUUGAGUGUACAAGAGGUGGGCGGAAUUCGUGGUGUAGCGGUGAAAUGCUUAGAUAUCACGAAGAACUCCAAUUGCGAAGGCAGCUCACUGGGGUACAACUGACACUGAGGCUCGAAAGUGUGGGUAUCAAACAGGAUUAGAUACCCUGGUAGUCCACACAGUAAACGAUGAAUACUCGCUGUUUGCGAUAUACAGUAAGCGGCCAAGCGAAAGCAUUAAGUAUUCCACCUGGGGAGUACGCCGGCAACGGUGAAACUCAAAGGAAUUGACGGGGGCCCGCACAAGCGGAGGAACAUGUGGUUUAAUUCGAUGAUACGCGAGGAACCUUACCCGGGCUUGAAUUGCAGAGGAACAUAGUUGAAAGAUUAUGGCCGCAAGGUCUCUGUGAAGGUGCUGCAUGGUUGUCGUCAGCUCGUGCCGUGAGGUGUCGGCUUAAGUGCCAUAACGAGCGCAACCCUUAUCAUUAGUUACUAACAGGUCAUGCUGAGGACUCUAGUGAGACUGCCGUCGUAAGANGUGAGGAANGUGGA